rnacentral:rRNA from 1 species
AUUGAACGCUGGCGGCAGGCCUAACACAUGCAAGUCGAGCGGAUGAAGGGAGCUUGCUCCUGGAUUCAGCGGCGGACGGGUGAGUAAUGCCUAGGAAUCUGCCUGGUAGUGGGGGAUAACGUCCGGAAACGGGCGCUAAUACCGCAUACGUCCUGAGGGAGAAAGUGGGGGAUCUUCGGACCUCACGCUAUCAGAUGAGCCUAGGCCGGAUUAGCUAGUUGGUGGGGUAAAGGCCUACCAAGGCGACGAUCCGUAACUGGUCUGAGAGGAUGAUCAGUCACACUGGAACUGAGACACGGUCCAGACUCCUACGGGAGGCAGCAGUGGAGAAUAUUGGACAAUGGGCGAAAGCCUGAUCCAGCCAUGCCGCGUGUGUGAAGAAGGUCUUCGGAUUGUAAAGCACUUUAAGUUGGGAGGAAGUGCAGUAAGUUAAUACCUUGCUGUUUUGACGUUACCAACAGAAUAAGCACCGGCUAACUUCGUG